rnacentral:rRNA from 2 species
CGAGUUGUAAUUUGUAGAGGAUGUUUUGGGUACCGCCACGGUUUAAUUUUCUUGGAACAGGAAGCCAAAGAGGGUGAGAGUCCCGUCUUGGACCGCGGUAGGGCUCGUGUAAAACUCCUUCGAC